UACGAGGUGUGCAAGCGUUGUUCGGAAUUACUGGGCAUAAAGGGUGCGUAGGCGGUUUCGCAAGUCGAGCGUGAAGUCCCCCGGCUUAACCGGGGAAUUGCGCUUGAUACUACGAGACUUGAGGAUGAAAGAGGCAAGCGGAAUUCCAGGUGUAGCGGUGGAAUGCGUAGAUAUCUGGGAGAACGCCGAGGGCGAAGGCAGCUCGCUGGGUCAUUCCUGACGCUGAGGCACGAAAGCUAGGGGAGCAAACAGG
rnacentral:rRNA from 1 species